UCUCCGUUAAACCAGGCAAACUGGAAUUGUUUCUUGGAUUUGUCAACAAUGGGACAUCAGCAGCGCUGCUUUCCGCUGAUUUUCUGUGUUCGUCCGUCAUAGACCAUUUAACGGUGGCGGAGGGAGGAGGAGGAGGAGCGGGGGGAGAAAAUUGGCCUGCGUGAUUGAAAGAUCUGAAGCGUGGCUGCGCAAAAACAACCUUUAACUUUUGCUAAUUCGAACUGUGUUGACAGCUGCAGAGCGGCAACAGCGACAGCUAAGUUAAAGGAAUCUGCUUGAUUGACUUUUGAGUGUGUUUUACCUUUUAAACUGUGAAAUUGUGCAUGAGAAGGUUUUUCUUCCCCAUCUGUGAAUUCUACUGCUUAAUCUUUUUCUUGUCUUAGCUGAGAUGCACCGCUUUAUGUUUGCAUUAUCAUAGAUCCCGCUGUGAAACUUCAAUGUGUGAACACAAAACAUGAUUUCCAAGUCUAUUUAUUCCUGCAGGAUUAGUGGGAAGAACGCGAGGAAGCAGCUGCAGCGGAAUCGACCAUGAAUGUUGGGGGAGAGGAACGCAUUUCCUUAAGAGUUUGGAAGAGGUGCAGCUGGCACAGCCAGCCUUAGGCAUAAGCAAGCUGCCGUCCUACUCAGGACCACUCCGCAGCAGGGACGUUCCCAUGAGCCGCUCGACCUCUCACACAGACGUAGAUCUUCAAAAUGUGCCUAAAUGUUGAAAAAUCUGCUAAUUUUCAAAUUUGCUUUGAGGAUUUAAAAUAAAUUAAUACAAUUAAAAAAUAUAUAUAAAAGACAGAUUUGAAGCUAAAAUAGAUUUAGCUUCAACAUUUAAAGAAUUAUCAGUAUUUUUUUUAAAUCAUGCAUUUUACACUUAAAUGUAAUGUAACUAGUGCAAUAUAUAUUUUUGUAUUUACAGUUUAGUCAAAUUUUAUUCAAGUUAAUCAAUCAACAGAAAGAUCCUCCAUUCUCCACCCAACUUUAACUUCCCUUUUCCCUCCCUUUUCUCUGCUGUUAUCCAAUAAACAAUGUGAAUUGGGGCCCAAAGGCCCAGGGCCAUAUAAAGUAUUGGCUUGGCUCUGUAUACGUAGCGCUGAUAAAAGCUCACUGCAACAAGCACAGAGUGAGGGGGGCUUUCUAACCCGUCCUUCCUGUGAUCUUUUGAAGCCUCGUAAAUCCGCUUUUAUACCUCCGCAGUUUGUUAAUGAAAUGUACGUUUUAAGCACACAUGCACGGCUUAGCGCGACAAAAACCUUUUAGUAUAAUAAGCCAUCUUGCUCCUGAAUGAAACCGUUGGGAGGGACACAGAGGAGACGCAGCAGCAGCUGAGGUGAUGAAAACAGCGCAGGAAAAACUGCCACCAAGGUCGCUGGUAUAACAAAUAAUUGUGAUCAUAAUAAUGUGUUGCUCCGGUGAACUCUGAUGAAUAGAUUUUUUCCGCUCCCUUCAGGUCACACCCGUGGAGCUGCAGUCAGAGGUCAGGGUCACCUGCGGAAGCUGUUUAGGCUCAGUAAAGUUUAAAAAAAUUCUCUCGCCACCUGUUCAUCGUUGGACCACCAGACCAGGACAAAUCCUGACACCCCGGCAGCGCGAAGACCACUGGGAGGGGACAGACCUGCAUCAAACUUGGAGGAUUUUCAUCCGCUAAUGUCGCUGCUGCUGCUGCUGGGAAAAUGACACCUCCAGCUAAAUGCAGCGGGGGAUUACCAUGCCAAUGUAUACUCGUUAAAUACUUACGGUGUCACUCAGUUUGUAGCUCUUUGUCAUUCAGAGGGUGGCUGAAAGAUACGCAUCAGGAUGUUGCCUCGUUGCGUGAGCGCACGCAUGAGGCAGAUCAAGGCGAACAGUUGCGAAUUGGUCCCAUUUCUGGCCUUUUACGCGCAGUUAAAACACGCGCAGUAUGCGGGAAAAGGGGCAAACUCUGACUUAAUAACACACCCGAGACUGAUCGAACAGUGACAUAAUUUGCUCAUAUGGUUUAAUUAUAAAACAAGAGUAAAAUUGUUACAUGAAAUCAUAAUAAAUGUGUA